rnacentral:rRNA from 1 species
AGAGUUUGAUCCUGGCUCAGAAUGAACGCUGGCGGCGUGCUUAACACAUGCAAGUCGCACGAGAACGUUUCAGCUUGCUGGAGCUAGUAAAGUGGCGCACGGGUAAGUAACGCGUGGGUAAUCUACCCUCGAAUUGGGGAUAACAUUGCGAAAGCGAUGCUAAUACCGGAUAAUAUCCGAUUUUUUUCGAAAUAUUGGAUCAAAGAUGGCCUCUUCUUGAAAGCUAUUGUUUGAGGAUGAGCCCGCGUCCCAUUAGCUUGUUGGCAGGGUAAUGGCCUACCAAGGCAACGAUGGGUAGCUGGUCUGAGAGGAUGAUCAGCCACACUGGAACUGACACACGGUCCAGACUCCUACGGGAGGCAGCAGUGAGGAAUUUUGCGCAAUGGGGGAAACCCUGACGCAGCAACGCCGCGUGAGUGAUGAAGGCUUUCGGGUCGUAAAGCUCUGUCAAGUGGGAAGAAACUGCAAUUAGCUAAUACCUAUUUGCACUGACGGUACCACUAAAGGAAGCACCGGCUAACUCCGUGCCAGCAGCCGCGGUAACACGGGGGGUGCAAGCGUUACUCGGAAUCAUUGGGCGUAAAGGGCGCGCAGGCGGCCUGGUUAGUCAGAUGUGAAAGCCCGGGGCUCAACCCCGGAAGUGCAUUUGAUACUGCUAGGCUUGAGUAUGGGAGAGGAAAGUGGAAUUCCUGGUGUAGAGGUGAAAUUCGUAGAUAUCAGGAGGAACACCGGUGGCGAAGGCGACUUUCUGGACCAAU